UACAGAGGUCCCAAGCGUUGUUCGGAUUCACUGGGCGUAAAGGGUGCGUAGGUGGUCGGGUAAGUCUGAUGUGAAAUCUCCGAGCCUAACUCGGAAACUGCAUCGGAUACUAUUCGGCUUGAGGGUUGGAGGGGGGACUGGAAUACUCGGUGUAGCAGUGAAAUGCGUAGAUAUCAAGUGGAACACCAGUGGCGAAGGCGAGUCCCUGGACAACUCCUGACACUGAGGCACGAAAGCUAGGGGAGCAAACAGG
rnacentral:rRNA from 1 species